CUCAGCCGGGGACGCCGGGACGGGAAUUCCCGGCGGCGCUGGGAGUGACCCCGGCCAUUCCCGGCGGGACAGGGAGUGACUCUGUCCCUCUGCACAGCCCUGCCAGGCACGUCUGGAGUGCUGUGUCCAGCUCUGGGCUCCUCCGCACAGCAGGGACAAGGGAGAUCCUGGAGAGGGCCCAGCGAAAGCUGCGGAGCUGAGGAAGGGCCUGGAGCAUCUCCGUGCCCAGGAAAGGCUGAGGGAGCUGGGGCUGCUCAGCCUGGAGAGGGGCCCCAGCCCUGGGUGUCCCUGUGUGCAGGGCAGGGCCCAGGCUCUGCUCUGGGGGCCCAGAGCCGCAGGCAGGGACUGAGCCCAGAGAGUUCCACCUGGACACGAGGCAGAACUUCUUUACCAGCACUGGAACAGACUCCCCAGAGAGAGUGUGGAGUGUCCCUCACUGCUUUAAUAGUGUUGCACUUUUACAUGACAAAGAAAAUGUCCCUCUUUGUGACAUGGCCAUAGCGUGUCACUGGCUGCAUGCAGUGCCCAUGGAUGAGGAUAUGCCUUGUCUUGAUCCAGCUCCUUUUUGGUCAUGGUCAUUGCCAUCAUCAUCAGCUGUGUUUGGGUGAAGCUGCAAGCAGGAUCUGCAGUGUCCUCAUGAAGACUUGAAAUGCAGCCUGAUCCUUCAAAACAGCUCAAGUUUAGUCAAACCCACAGAGGAUGCUGUUGGCCCUGCUUGACUCACCCCGUUCCCUCCAUUUGGAUUGGCUUCUGACAGCAAAGGUUCUUCUCAGUUAAAAACACAACUCAUAAAACAAGACAACUACCAGAUUUCCUUCCUUCAGAUGUGUGAGAGCCUCAUGCCCAGUGAGUGACUGCAUUUCCCUGGACACGAAAAGGAAAACUCAGUGUGCUCAAGUAAAAAAAGUGUCAGCAUUGCCUAGAGAAGAUGCUGAGAGGAAAAAUGAGCUGGAAGGCACAUCUGCAGCCCCAGAUCACAUUUUCACUUGCUUGAGCGUGUCAGAGUAUCUGACACUGCAACGUUGGACUCUCCUUGGGCACAGAAAUCCUGACUGACAGUUCGGAAUGGAAGCAGGGAAAUACUGAAUUCAUGGGCAGGAAAUGGACAUAAUUCAUUCUAAGGAAAAAAAUCAACUUGGAAAAGCACUCUGAACUUCUCCUACACCCACGUGACGGGA